rnacentral:lncRNA from 1 species
GAGUGCUGGGAUUACAGGUGUGAGCCACCACACCCGGCCUUUUCACAUAAAUUUUAGUGUAAACUUACUGGUUUCCAUAAAAAGCCUGCCGGGAUUUUUUUUUUUUUAACUGAGAUUUGGUUUAAUCUAAAGAUGAAUUAGAGAAUUGGCGUCUUAAUACUGGCUGUUCUGAACCAUAGACACAGUAUAUCUCUGCCGUGGUCUGAAUGUUUGCAUACCCGCAAAAUUUAUAUGGUUGAAAUCCUAAUCCCCAGUCCAAUGAUAUUGGCAGGCGAGGCCUUUUGGAGAUGAUUAGGCUAAUGAGGGCAGAGCACUAAUGAAUUAGAUUGGUGCCUUUAUAAAAGAGAUUCCAGAGAGCUUGCUCAUCUCUUCUGCCUUGUGAGGACACAGCAAGAAGUCACCAUCUGUGAACCAAGAAGUGGGACCUCAUCAGAUGCCAAAUCUGCCAACACUUCAAUCUUGGACUUCCCAUUCUCCAGAACUGGCUGGGUAUAAGUAAGCAAGAAGAGGGCCUGGGAGAAGAGUCUGACGAGCAAGGGGAAGGUAGCCAAGGAUGGAGUGAAAUACAGGGUGACCUGUGUUUUUCCCCUGGCUGCUUUGGAAAUUAUGGGAAAAAAUCAAAUACCAAGGAAGAAAAAUCUAUAAUGAAAUUAGAUGUGGAUUUCUUUUUAUGUAUUCAGCUUGGGGGCUUAUGAUAC